CGAACGCUGGCGGCGUGCCUAAUACAUGCAAGUCGAGCGAAGUUUUUCUGGUGCUUGCACUAGAAAAACUUAGCGGCGAACGGGUGAGUAACACGUAAAGAACCUGCCUCAUAGACUGGGACAACUAUUGGAAACGAUAGCUAAUACCGGAUAACAGUAUUUCUCGCAUGAGAGAUAUUUAAAAGUUGGUUAUGCUAACACUAUGAGAUGGCUUUGCGGUGCAUUAGCUAGUUGGUGGGGUAAAGGCCCACCAAGGCGACGAUGCAUAGCCGACCUGAGAGGGUGAUCGGCCACACUGGGACUGAGACACGGCCCAGACUCCUACGGGAGGCAGCAGUAGGGAAUCUUCCGCAAUGGGCGAAAGCCUGACGGAGCAACGCCGCGUGAGUGAAGAAGGAUUUCGGUUCGUAAAGCUCUGUUGUUAGGGAAGAAUGGAUAUGUAGUAACUAUACAUGUAAGAGACGGUACCUAACCAGAAAGCCACGGCUAACUACGUG
rnacentral:rRNA from 1 species